AGUGAAUUAGCGGCGAACGGGUGAGGAACACGUGAGGAAUCUGCCUUCAACACUGGGAUAACUCCGGGAAACCGGGGCUAAUACCGGAUACGAGCUCUGAUCGCAUGAUCGGGGCUGGAAAGUUUUUCGGUUGAAGAUGACCUCGCGGCCUAUCAGCUUGUUGGUGAGGUAAUGGCUCACCAAGGCGACGACGGGUAGCCGGCCUGAGAGGGCGACCGGCCACACUGGGACUGAGACACGGCCCAGACUCCUACGGGAGGCAGCAGUGGGGAAUAUUGGGCAAUGGAGGAAACUCUGACCCAGCGACGCCGCGUGCGGGAUGAAGGCCUUCGGGUUGUAAACCGCUUUCAGUAGGGAAGAAGCGAAAGUGACGGUACCUACAGAAGAAGCACCGGCUAACUAUGUGCCAGCAGCCGCGGUAAUACAUAGGGUGCAAGCGUUGUCCGGAAUUAUUGGGCGUAAAGAGCUCGUAGGUGGUUUGAUACGUCGGGUGUGAAAUUCAGGGGCUCAACCCCUG
rnacentral:rRNA from 1 species